AACGCGAAGAACCUUACCUGGGCUCGAACGGCUUCGGAAAGCCGGUGGAAACACUGGUUCUCCCGCAAGGGACCGGAGUCGAGGUGCUGCAUGGCUGUCGUCAGCUCGUGUCGUGAGAUGUUGGGUUAAGUCCCGCAACGAGCGCAACCCUUGUCCUGUGUUGGCAUGCCGAAAGGCGCAACUCUCAGGAGACCGCCAGCGAUAAGUUGGAGGAAGGUGGGGAUGACGUCAAGUCAUCAUGGCCUUUAUGUCCAGGGCUACACACGUGCUACAAUGGGCGGUACAAAGCGCUGCAAACCCGCGAGGGGGAGCUAAUCGCAAAAAACCGUUCUCAGUUCGGAUUGCAGGCUGCAACCCGCCUGCAUGAAGCUGGAAUCGCUAGUAAUGGCAUAUCAGAACGAUGCCGUGAAUACGUUCCCGGGCCUUGUA
rnacentral:rRNA from 1 species